rnacentral:rRNA from 1 species
GCAUAACGCGAAGAACCUUACCAAGGCUUGACAUGCAUCUCUAAGCGCGUGAAAGCGCGUGACCCUUCGGGGGAUUUGCACAGGUGCUGCAUGGCCGUCGUCAGCUCGUGUCGUGAGAUGUUGGGUUAAGUCCCGCAACGAGCGCAACCCUUGUGACUAGUUGCCAGCACGUUAUGGUGGGAACUCUAGUCAGACUGCCCAGAUCAACUGGGAGGAAGGUGGGGACGACGUCAGGUCAGUAUGGCCCUUACGCCUUGGGCUGCACACGUACUACAAUGCCCAGCACAAUGAGAACCGAGACCGCGAGGUGGAGGAAAUCUAAAAAACUGGGCCCAGCUCGGAUUGGAGGCUGCAACUCGCCUCCAUGAAGUUGGAAUCGCUAGUAAUGGCGCAUCAUCUACGGCGCCGUGAAUACGUUCCCGGGUCUUGUACACACCG